CCUACGGGGCGCUGCAGUGGGGAAUAUUGGACAAUGGGCGAAAGCCUGAUCCAGCCAUGCCGCGUGUGUGAAGAAGGCCUUCGGGUUGUAAAGCACUUUCAGUGGGGAAGAAAGCCUUGGGGCUAAUACCCUCGAGGAAGGACAUCACCCACAGAAGAAGCACCGGCUAACUCCGUGCCAGCAGCCGCGGUAAUACGGAGGGUGCGAGCGUUAAUCGGAAUUACUGGGCGUAAAGCGCGCGUAGGCGGUCUGAUAAGCCGGUUGUGAAAGCCCCGGGCUCAACCUGGGAACGGCAUCCGGAACUGUCAGGCUAGAGUGCAGGAGAGGAAGGUAGAAUUCCCGGUGUAGCGGUGAAAUGCGUAGAGAUCGGGAGGAAUACCAGUGGCGAAGGCGGCCUUCUGGACUGAGACUGACGCUGAGGUGCGAAAGCGUGGGUAGCAAACAGGAUUAGAUACCCUAGUAGUC
rnacentral:rRNA from 1 species